AGUUUUAAAAAUUUUCUUCAAAUAUCACUUAUGUUUUAUUUAGGAUCAAAAUAUCACUCAACUAUCACUUUUUUCCUCAAAAAUUAGUAAACAUCUCAAAAGUCUUCUUCUCUCUUGGUUGACAUGAAUGUCACUAAUUUUUUAUUUUUUUUUAAAAAAAACACUAGACCUAUUUAACUCAUCAAACUCAUUCAAUCAAACUAUAGUUCUUUUUUUCUUUGAAAGAAUGUAUUAGUUUAUUAAAAAAAAUUAUACUUAGAAAAACUUUAUCGGUACUAAAACUUGACAUAUAUUUUUUCAAGGGUUAUUUUUGUCAUUGGCCACUCAUAAUUUUUUAAUUUCCUACAAAAAUUAUUUUUAUCUUUUUAGAGAUAAUAAGAUGACUCAACUUUCACCAGUAUUCUUAAAAAAAAAAACAAGUAUCGUAUAUGUCUCUUUCUCUUCUAA
rnacentral:lncRNA from 1 species